UAUGUAGGUGACAAGCGUUGUCCGGAUUUACCGGGCGUAAAGAGCGCGCAGGCGGUCGAUCAAGUCGAGUGUGAAAGCCCCCGGCUCAACUGGGGAGGGUCAUUCGAAACUGGUCGACUCGAAGGCAGGAGAGGGUAGUGGAAUUCCCGGUGUAGUGGUGAAAUGCGUAGAUAUCGGGAGGAACACCAGUGGCGAAGGCGACUACCUGGCCUGUUCUUGACGCUGAGGCGCGAAAGCUAGGGGAGCAAACAGG
rnacentral:rRNA from 1 species